rnacentral:rRNA from 1 species
CAGUAAACGGCGGCCGUAACUAUAACGGUCCUAAGGUAGCGAAAUUCCUUGUCGGGUAAGUUCCGACCCGCACGAAAGGCGUAACGAUUUGGGCACUGUCUCAACAACAGACUCGGUGAAAUUGUAAUUCCGGUGACGAUGCCGGAUACCUGCGACAGGACGGAAAGACCCCAUGGAGCUUUACUGUAGCUUGACAUUGGGUCUUGGUACUACAUGUACAGGAUAGGUGGGAGGCUUUGAAACCAGGACGCCAGUUUUGGCGGAGCCAUCCUUGGGAUACCACCCUU